UACGUAGGUGGCAAGCGUUGUCCGGAUUUAUUGGGUUUAAAGGGUGCGUAGGCGGUCUUUUAAGUCAGUGCUGAAAUAUCCCGGCUUAACCGGGAGGGUGGCAUUGAUACUGAAGGACUUGAGUUCAGUCGAAGUAGGCGGAAUUGACGGUGUAGCGGUGAAAUGCUUAGAUAUCGUCAAGAACACCGAUAGUGUAGACAGCUUACUAGGCUGAAACUGACGCUGAGGCACGAAAGUGUGGGGAUCAAACAGG
rnacentral:rRNA from 1 species